CUACUUUCUUCUACUCAACUAUAGGACAUUCCUAGCCAUCAUGCCCCAGGAAUUACCUGCGUGAGCUCCCAAAGAAGUCUUUCUUGCCUUCUAUUAUCCUCAAUCAGUUUUCAGCUCUGGGAAUUUGUCUUUUCUCACUCGCCAAAGCCACAGCUCAGAGCAACCAUCAGAAAAUGAUUAACACUGUCUGUCUGUGCUGCAGCCGUCGGACAAUCGCAAAGGUUCUGCCUCACGCCCCUGCCCAUCUCACCCUGGAUCAGAAAAAAAGGAGGCUUGGGAAUACCUGAAAAUGGGCUUCACGGGCGGGAUGACUUCCUACCUCCAUCCCCGCAAAAGGCUGCAGCUUUGCCCCAGACUUCCUUGGCGCCCACCCGCCAAGGCAGCAAAAGGAAGCAAUAGCUGUCAGCCCCUGCCAGGCUGGGUCUUCGCAAGGUGCAGCUGAAUAAUCA